AUUGCACAAUGGGCGAAAGCCUGAUGCAGCCAUGCCGCGUGUAUGAAGAAGGCCUUCGGGUUGUAAAGUACUUUCAGUUGUGAGGAAGGGGGUAACGUUAAUAGCGUUAUCUCUUGACGUUAGCAACAGAAGAAGCACCGGCUAACUCCGUGCCAGCAGCCGCGGUAAUACGGAGGGUGCGAGCGUUAAUCGGAAUUACUGGGCGUAAAGCGCAUGCAGGUGGUUCAUUAAGUCAGAUGUGAAAGCCCGGGGCUCAACCUCGGAACUGCAUUUGAAACUGGUGAACUAGAGUGCUGUAGAGGGGGGUAGAAUUUCAGGUGUAGCGGUGAAAUGCGUAUAGAUCUGAAGGAAUACCAGUGGCGAAGGCGGCCCCCUGGACAGACACUGACACUCAUAUGCGAAAGCGUGGGGAGCUAAUUGGAUUAGAUACCCUGGUAGUCCACGCCGUAAACGAUGUGUACUUUGAGGGUGUGGCCUUAAGCCGCGCCUGUUUUUGGUAAACCGUUAAGUAGACCGCCUGGGGAGUACUGUCGCAAGAUUAAAACUCAAAUGAAUUGACGGGGGCCCG
rnacentral:rRNA from 1 species